GCCGGGCAUGGUGGCGCAUGCCUGUAAUCCCAGCUACUUGGGAGGCUGAGGCAGGAGAAUCGCUCGAACCUGGGAGGCAGAGGUUGCAGUGAGCUGACAUCGUGCCACUGCACUCAAGCCUGGGUGACAGAGCGAGACUCUGCCUCAA
rnacentral:SRP_RNA from 1 species